rnacentral:rRNA from 1 species
AUUACCGCGGCUGCUGGCACGGAGUUAGCCGGUGCUUAUUCAUGAGAUACCGUCAGACCCUAAAUAAAUCAAGGCGUUUCUUCUCUCAUAAAAGCAGUUUACAACCCAUAGGGCCGUCAUCCUGCACGCGGGAUGGCUGGAUCAGACUUUCGUCCAUUGUCCAAUAUUCCUUACUGCUGCCUCCCGUAGC